rnacentral:rRNA from 1 species
UACGUAGGGGGCGAGCGUUGUCCGGAUUUAUUGGGCGUAAAGAGCUCGUAGGCGGUUUGGCAAGUCGGGUGUGAAAACUCCGGGCUCAACUCGGAGACGCCACUCGAUACUGCUAUGACUCGAGUCCGGUAGGGGAGUGCGGAAUUCCUGGUGUAGCGGUGAAAUGCGCAGAUAUCAGGAGGAACACCGGUGGCGAAGGCGGCACUCUGGGCCGGAACUGACGCUGAGGAGCGAAAGCGUGGGGAGCGAACAGGAUUAGAUACCCGUGUAGU